AAGUAAAUCCGGUGACACUUGGCGGUGAUGGGCCAUCACUGAUGGCAAACUAAAACUUCGGCUGCCAGUCAAGAUUGGCCAAUCUGGUAAUAGAAAAUCUGUACUACUUCUUCUAAAUGCGUUACGGAUUGAAAAAAACGUUUCCUUUCCUCAAUCUCUAACAAAAUUAAUAUGCUUCGUACCUAAUGGUUUUCUAGGACCUUGAGUUUGUAUAACCUUUCCAUUAAAUUUUCUUGCUCUCAGUCUUCGAAUAGUAAAAUAAGAGUUGCCAUUUUACAAUCAUCUCCACAGUGUUUUAUUCAGACUUUAAUAUAUUAUCCUGGCAUUUUACUGAAAUAUAAUGUCACGUAGAAAGAACUGGUGUUAAACAUAACAUUAAACUCAUCAAAUAUUCGUUUCUAGUCAUCAUAUUUCAUAUUGUAAGAUGAUUCGCAACAAUGUUUACAGCUUUAUAGUGCUACUUUACUCGAGUUACUAUUCAUUGGUUAAGUGUUUUGUGAAGAAUGAUUUUUUUUCCAUUUCAUGCAUGGAAGAUAUGCUCAACCAAUGUCCUCCACAUUCAUCGUGUAAUAAUGGUUCAUGUUCUUGCAUACAUAAUUUCAAGCAGAACCCAGAUUACGAUGAAAAAGUAAGCAGAAGCUUUUGCGUUCUUCAAGAAACAACUUUAGAAGUAAACAAUAGUAAAACAAAUACGUUUGGAAAAGUCUUCAAAGAAACUCCUGAACCACACCAUAUCCUAGGAGGAAUAUUGAUACCAGUAUGCAUUGUUAUGGUCAUCUUGGGCAUCAUCAUUUUGUCAAAAAAAAUACAGCUGCUUCAAAGGAUUCGUAUUCUGUAUCCAACUCGAGCCAGAAGACCCGCGUACGAAGAUGUUAUUUUAGGUAAUGAUUCGGACGAUGCACCUAUUAUUUAAAAAAACACAAAGCAAUCGAAUAACAAACUUUUCAUUAAUUUUUACAGUAGGCUAUGAACAUUAAUUCCAAAGAAUCAAGGAAACUUGAAUGUACACUGUAUCAUAAAUGAUCGCCAAGAAAUACUUUGAUCAACCUUUAUUCCUAAAAAAACGACUGUUAAUGCAAACGGACAAGUCAAAAGUUUUAAUUAAUGCAUUUAAUUGUUUUCGAUAAAUCAGCAGUGAAAUAUUGAAUGUAAAUAUAUAUAAAUCAGUUUAUUUAAUGUUAAAUUAAAGUCAUGUUUUUUUCACCUUUGUGAUUUUACGAACAAAAGCGAAAUGUGAUUUUUCAUACAUAAUUCUUUAACUUUUGUCUAUAUCAAUUGUCAUUUGCAAAUAAAGUAUACAUUUCAAUAUGUGUGUUUA